rnacentral:rRNA from 1 species
ACUCAAAGGAAUUGACGGGGGCCCGCACAAGCGGUGGAUCAUGUGGUUUAAUUCGACGCUACGCGAAGAACCUUACCAGCUUUUGACAUGUAUGCUGCGAUCCCAAGAGAUUGGGGUCUCAUUUAGUUGGGCAUACACAGGUGCUGCAUGGCUGUCGUCAGCUCGUGUCGUGAGAUGUUGGGUUAAGUCCCGCAACGAGCGCAACCCUCAUCUUUAGUUGCCAUCGGGUAGAGCCGGGCACUCUAAAGAAACUGCCGGUGACAAGCCGGAGGAAGGUGGGGAUGACGUCAAGUCCUCAUGGCCCUUACAGGCUGGGCUACACACGUGAUACAAUGGCGACUACAGAGGGAAGCUAUCCUGCGAAGGUGAGCGGAUCCUCAAAAGUCGUCUCAGUUCGGAUUGUACUCUGCAACUCGAGUGCAUGAAGUUGGAAUCGCUAGUAAUCGCGAAUCAGCAGGUCGCGGUGAAUACGUUCCCGGGCCUUGUACACACCGCCCGU